rnacentral:rRNA from 1 species
UACGAAGGGGGCUAGCGUUGUUCGGAAUCACUGGGCGUAAAGCGCACGUAGGCGGACUUUUAAGUCAGGGGUGAAAUCCCGGGGCUCAACCUCGGAAUUGCCUUUGAUACUGUAGGUCUCGAGUCCGGAAGAGGUGGGUGGAAUUCCUAGUGUAGAGGUGAAAUUCGUAGAUAUUAGGAAGAACACCGGUGGCGAAGGCGGCCCACUGGUCCGGUACUGACGCUGAGGUGCGAAAGCGUGGGGAGCAAACAGG